rnacentral:rRNA from 1 species
GACGAACGCUGGCGGCGUGCUUAACACAUGCAAGUCGAACGGAAAGGCCCUGCUUUUGUGGGGUGCUCGAGUGGCGAACGGGUGAGUAACACGUGAGUAACCUGCUCUUGACUUUGGGAUAACUUCAGGAAACUGGGGCUAAUACCGGAUAGGAGCUCCUGCUGCAUGGAGGGGGUUGGAAAGUUUCGGCGGUCGUGGUUGGAUGCGCGGCUUAUCAGCUUGUUGGUGGGGUAGUGGCUUACCAAGGCUUUGACGGGUCGCCGGCCUGAGAGGGUGACCGGCGACAUUGGGACUGAGAUACGGCCCAGACUCGUACGGGAGGCAGCAGUGGGGAAUAUUGCACAAUGGGCGGAAGCCUGAUGCAGCAACGCCGCGUGCGGGAUGACGGCCUUCGGGUUGUAAACCGCUUUCGCCUGUGACGAAGCGUGAGUGACGGUAAUGGGUAAAGAAGCACCGGCUAACUACGUG